rnacentral:lncRNA from 1 species
UGAUGAACGCAUGCGCAUGGCGCCUGUCAGCCAUUCUGGGCUUGUUGCUGGUGAGCGUGAUGUGAAGUGGCUACCCGGGGAGGGGAGGCAGCUUUGCUUUCCGAGGACGCUGCGCUUUCCCACAAGUGGAACAGAGAGAGGAAGGACUAGCUCCUGGGCUCCGUCUUCCAGGUUCAAGCGAGGCCUUCUCAAGAGCCUGCCCGUCGUCAGGACAGAAGCACAGAGAAAUGAUGACGUCUGGGCUUCUGACAGCCAGGCCCCAGGUGAGCUUAGGUGUCCUUUCCCUUCCUUUGGAUAGGCUGGGCUCAUCCGGGGUCUGUGCACUCAGGGCUGGGAGUUCGCAGAGUCCCGGGAAGGAGCUCUAAGGGAAUAGUCCCUGCUGCAUGCCCGGCUGGAGGGCCCCCUGCCGAGAGGGAAUCCAGGCUGUCUUGAGAGCGUCUGGUGAGGAGGGGCAGUUCCUCCACGCCAUCCCGCGCCCCUUUGGAUGGCCUUAGUCUUUCCUUAGGCUCAGCUGACCCAGUCUUCUCUGUGAGUCCACUCACUGCUCUGACCUCUCCCGUCUGGGGACAAGCAGACGCAGAAGUUUAAUCUGUCUCCUAUGUAUUCAGAUGUCAGAUACUUGGAAAGAACUUUUCUGUCUUCCCCCAAAUAAGCUCUAGGC